rnacentral:rRNA from 1 species
AGUCGAGAGGGUUCGGCCCUCGGCACACUGCUCAGUAACACGUGGACAAUCUGCCCUCGGGUGGGGGAUAACCUCGAGAAAUUGAGAAUAAUACCCCAUAGGUCCCAUAUGCUGGAACGCUUCGGGAUCGAAAGCUGCGGCGCCCGAGGAUGAGUCUGCGGCUCAUCAGGUUGUAGUGAGUGUAACGGACUCACUAGCCGACAACGAGUACGGGCCUUGGAAGAGGUCGCCCGGAGAUGGACUCUGAGACACGAGUCCAGGCCCUACGGGGCGCAGCAGGCGCGAAAACUUCGCAAUGUGGGAAACCACGACGAGGGGAUUCCAAGUGCUCAUGGUUUUCCAUGGGCUGUUUUCCUGCCUAAAUAGCAGGGAGAGUAAGGGCUGGGUAAGACGGGUGCCAGCCGCCGCGGUAAUACCCGCAGCUCGAGUGGUGAUCGUUCUUAUUGGGCCUAAAGCGUCCGUAGCCGGCUCAGUAAAUCCUUGGGUAAAUCGGGCAGCUUAACUGUCCGACUUCCGGGGAGACUGCUGAGCUUGGGACUGGGAGAGGUCGGAGGUACUCCGGGGGUAGAGGUGAAAUUCUGUAAUCCCCGGGGGACCACCAGUGGCGAAGGCGUCCGACUUGAACGGGUCCGACGGUGAGGGACGAAGCCCUGGGGCACAAACCGGAUUAGAUACCCGGGUAGUCCAGGGUGUAAACGCUGCGGGCUUGGUGUUGGGGGUCCUACGUGGGCGCUCAGUGCCGGAGAGAAGUUGUUAAGCCCGCCGCCUGGGGAGUACGGUCGCAAGACUGAAACUUAAAGGAAUUGGC